UACGUAGGGAGCAAGCGUUGUCCGGAAUCAUUGGGCGUAAAGCGCGCGUAGGUGGCUUCGUAAGUCCGUUGUGAAAGUCAAAGGCUCAACCUUUGAAAGCCGAUGGAUACUGCGGAGCUAGAGUACGGAAGAGGCGAGUGGAAUUCCUGGUGUAGCGGUGGAAUGCGCAGAUAUCAGGAGGAACACCAAUAGCGAAGGCAGCUCGCUGGGACGUUACUGACACUGAGGCGCGAAAGCUAGGGGAGCAAACGGG
rnacentral:rRNA from 1 species